rnacentral:rRNA from 1 species
GACGAACGCUGGCGGCGUGGAUUAGGCAUGCAAGUCGAACGGUAUCAUCCUUUCGGGGGUGAGAGAGUGGCGAACUGGUGAGUAACACGUAGGUUAUCUACCCUCAAGACGGGGACAACCCAGGGAAACUUGGGCUAAUACCGGAUGUGAGCAACUUUUAGUUGUUUGAAAGGUGGCGUAAGCUGUCGCUUGGGGAUGAGCCUGCGUCCUAUUAGUUAGUUGGUGAGGUAACGGCUCACCUAGGCAAUGAUAGGUAGGCGGCCUUAACGGGUGGUCGCCCACACUGGGAUUGAGAUACGGCCCAGACUCCUACGGGAGGCAGCAGUCGAGAAUAGUCUACAAUGGUCGGAAGACUGAUAGUGCGACGCCGCGUGAACGAUGAAUCCCUUCGGGGUGUAAAGUUCUUUUAUAUGUGAGCAGUGCUUCUUAUAUUAACAGUAUGGGGAGAGAGAUAUUAGCAUAUGAAUAAGCAACGGCUAACUCCGUGCCCAGCAGCCGCGGUAAG